rnacentral:tRNA from 2 species
AAAAUCCGUCGAUUUC